CUGGUGGAGAAUUAGAAAUGAUAGUGAGAGAUUGAGACCGAGAGUUGAGGGGAAAGGUUUCGUUGGUGUUAAUAAUAGUGUUACUGAUGUUAAUUAAGUAAAAAGAAGAUGAUGAAGAAGUUGUGAAUUAAAAAGGAAAAAAGUUGGGUUUUCUCUGUGGUUAAGAUUGAGUUUGAAAUUGAGGAAAUAUAGAUCGAAGUAUGGUUGUUGGUAGUGAUGAGGAAAUAUACUUCUGUGGGAAAUUUCAAGAUGUUUCAUAUCUGGUCAUUAAUUCGAAUCCAGGAGUAAUCACUUUGAUGAUGCUAACAAAAAUCAGAUGGUUGUAGGGAAGAAAGAAACACCCCAUCUCGUACAACGUGGUAAACAACUAAUUGGUAACUAUCUUCUUCAAUCGAUUAUUUCUAAUAUUGAUCUACGAGAAGAUCUUACUGAUGCAGUGAAGGAAUUUGUGAAAUUUUGGUUUAAAAUUGGGGACUCUGUGGGUUAUUUAGAUCAAGUCUGGAUAGAGGAGACUAUUAAGAGUAGAGACAUGGUUCUUCUGCAUGUGAGUGGUUAUUUUAA